CAACUACAAGUGCACACACAAGGAUCACGAGAUGGAAAGGAUGAAGAGGAAAACCAAGCUCUCUAACAAGGGGACACUUCACUAUUUGAGUAAUCUUGCAGUUGAUGUAUCCGAAUUUUGAACAUCUGCCGAAGAACAACCUUGCUGCCUUGGCUAGGCCCAAGUAAUUUGAACAGUUAGGGGUAGUACUGGUGAUUUUUAAUGGAUAAUUUGUUGAUCAGUGCCGUCAUUAUUGGAUCCACUGGCAGCGUUAUUUGCUUUGAUCUUCAUUGUUUUCAGAUUCAGCCAUGGCGAGGCAGAAGAGCAAGGGACCGACAUCAGAAAACUUGCUUUGAUGCCAUAUUAAUGUGAAACAAUGAUAAGGGAAAAAAACUCAGGCAAAGAGCAAGUCACAAAAGAUUUUACGAGAUUCAGCCAUGGCGAGGCAGAAGAGCAAGGGACCGACAUCAGAAAACUUGCUUUGAUGCCAUAUUAAUGUGAAACAAUGAUAAGGGAAAAAAACUCAGGCAAAGAGCAAGUCACAAAAGAUUUUACGAGAUUCAGCCAUGGCGAGGCAGAAGAGCAAGGGACCGACAUCAGAAAACUUGCUUUGAUGCCAUAUUAAUGUGAAACAAUGAUAAGGGAAAAAAACUCAGGCAAAGAACAAGUCACAAAAGAUUUUACGAGGUUGGCCAUUCAUUGAUCAUUGGUUCUUUCAUACUUUCAACCAGUCGGAUACAACCGCAGUUUAUAAUGCAAUUACAUGAAAGAGAAUCUCUCGUGACAAACAGAACACCACAACGGUCGGCUGAAAAUUUUCCUAACAGCCUGUUUGGAUGGAAGGAGAGGGAGAGAAAGCAAUGGAAAGAAAGGUCUUUCCUGUGUUUUGGAUGACUAAUUAAUAUGGAGGAAAAGGAAAGGAAGAGACUCCGAAGACGACACCUACACCUGCCAAAUAAGCGUAGCAAAGAGCCUCCUUUCAUCUUGGUGGGUGCCAUCAGAAACAGAAAACCCCUCCCCGACCAACGAAUUGGUCACUCAUCAAACCCCUGGUUGCCGACUCCUAUUAUACGCAGAUGAGAAGAGGAUGCGGAGGAGGAAAAAAGGGAUCAGAGGUGAAAAUGAAAAUCCUGAUCCGUCAGAGCUGUUGGCCACAAGCCAACAAGCGAUCUACAAGAUGUCUACAGAUUCUAUGAGAGAGGGGGAUGUCUGGAGAGCCGGCUGAAGACGGUCGCCGGCAAUUAGAUGGAGAGAAAAGCACCACUGGAACAUCCAACAGGAAAAAAGACAUGGCAGAUGGGGUGGGAGCCAUACACCUCCAACCCUCAGAGCUAGUUUUUAGGGGAAAAUGUAGCAGCCACACGCCCCGUAGGUGGGGUGCGAGUUGUACAAUACCCUGUGACUCUGCCUUUCAGGGUUUUUUAAAGUGAUAAUUGCAAAAGACAUCCUUGUGAUCCUUAUCGCAUCAUGUUUUCAAAUGUUAGUAAUUUAACUGAUUACUCAUAUAUCUGGCUCCUAUAAUGAUAUGAUUGCGUGCUAUGCAUAUUUUCAUGACAUGCAUAAC